UUCCUGUCUGCUCUUAGGUUUCCUACAGAUGCAAGAGAAAAUGUCCUCGCGCUUUCUGCCUGCCUGCCUGUGGCAGCCAUGAUUGAAUAGGGGAGUACAGUAAUGACUGAGAGAAGCAAGGAGAAGAUUCCAGGAAAGGACUCAUUAUGAUGUCACAUAAGUGUUGCAUAAUUUGUCCUACACCUGUAAUUUAAAAGCGGAAAUGUUAAAAUAUGCAGGCCAAGUACCCAAGUGAGCAUUCAGCCCAGGAGAAGAACCUGGCAAGUGAAAUGGAAAAGCUGCACGUGCGAUUCAAAAUGAAAAGAAACUCCAUACCUCUUGAUGACAGCGCUGGGCAGUCAUGGACACCGGGUACAGCAUGAAGGGCCAGGUGGACGCCCGUGCUCGUGUGGCCCGUUCGAAUGUCUUCCUCCCUGAGGACUCCCUUUCCUGGCAAUCCCCUCGGGAAUGCCGUGAUGUGAGGGCGUCCACAUCGACAGGGUUCAUUUCGUGGAGAACGACUGAGCGCAUGGCGGUGCACAGUAAGUGCAGACUCAUGCUUUGACAGUCCAGGGUCCAGACAUCAGCAGACUUGAAUGAAGCUCCUGAAGGCUCCACUCCCACAGGCGUUGCUGGACUGGCGUGUCACCAUGGCGACUCCUCUCAGAAAUCAGCUCCUCCUCAGUCAUAUUUCCAGUGCCCUCUGACCCAAGGGCCCCCCCUCCGGCACCAGCUCCGACAAGGUUCUGUUACCACUCUUCAGGCCUUCGGGCUCAGACAAUGUUUCAGAGCUGUGCGGCAGGUUUUCAGCGGCUCCUUCACCGAAGUGGGGAGGGAGUUCUUCAUGGUCUGUUCUUAGCCUGGAAGCUCCGCUGAAACCUGUUCCCUUUGGGUGGCCCUGCCGGUGAUGCUGGAAAUCCCAGUGACAGUGACAUAUCCUCCAGCAUCACAGCAGCACACAAGCCGCCCCAGAACGACAGACACACGGACAGACAAGUGGUCCGUCCACACUGCAGCAUUUCCUGAUUUGGACUUUUUUUCAUUGGCAUAUGUCAAGCGCUCUAGCGGUGCAGAGGCUGCACGUUGGGCUGCUAACCCGCAAGGUCAGCCAGACCAGUCUCAGCUCUGUGGGACAGACAGGGAUCUCUCUUGUUCAGAAAGGCCGGCUCAAAAAUGCCAAGAGCAGUUCUCCCUGUCCUGUAGGGUUCCUGGGCAUGGGCACCCACUGGAAGGUGUGGGGGAGGGAGUUUUAUCUGUAUGUAAAGUUUCUGGUAAGGUAUUAGGUAGCUAUUCUUACACAGAAACACAGAAGGCAAAACUGGCCUGCAGGUUAAUACAGUCCACAACUGGUCCCUUUGCCUGAAGGCUGCCUCGCCUUCAGCAUCACAGCUGCUACUGCAAAGCUGCUAGAAACUGCUGUAGAUGUCGUUUUAGGGGAUUUUUUGAUAUGUAUGUACCCUAUGCUGCACCUCCUUUAUCUGAUUUUGCCUUAAUUUAACAUUUAUCUUCCAGUAAAUUAUUCACCUUCUUCUGAGGUCAUUCUGGCAGCUUCAAAUAUUAGACUGCUUUAAACCCAGCCGCUCUUCUCCCCAUAAUGAAAUGAAAGCAAAUGUCCUCAUGCUUGUUAGCAUGACCUGAGAAUCCUCUGACUCUUUAGUGACUUGUCAGGGCAUACCAGCCCCUAACACAGUACCACAGGUCCAGUAGAUGCAAUUGUACAGCGAUAAUAAGUAAAGAUUAUAGUAAAGUCAUCUUUCUCACAUCCAUUACUAUUAGCUCCCUGUUUCCCCCAGCAUCCUUUUGUUAUAGCUGUAGGCAACAAUUAAGCUAGCUACUGUCUCUAUAGAUUUACCUAUUCUGAGUUUCAUAUAAAGAAAAUCAUUCAAGUAAAAAAACAGUAACAGUAAUUACAACAGAUGAAAACCUUGUAAAAUUGGCGUGACUGCACAACUCUUUAAUAUACCUAUAGAAUGAAUUUUAUGAUACAUAAAUUAUACAUCAAUAAAGCUGUUGAAACAUUUACAAAAGGAAAAACAAAAACCUGCAUUUUAUAGGUAGGCUCAGGAAGUCUGAUGUUCUCAAGCCCACAGUGACAGCGAAAUAAAACCAAGAAGUCACCCUA